AACGGCCGUACCAUGCUGAAUAUACCGGUUCUUGUUAGAUCAUCGAAGCCAAGCAUCAUUGGGCGUGGUCACUUGGGUGGGUGACUAUCUGGGAACACCGCGUGCCGUU